AUUGAACGCUGGCGGCAGGCUUAACACAUGCAAGUCGAGCGAGCGGCGGACGGGUGAGUAAUGUCUGGGAAACUGCCUGAUGGAGGGGGAUAACUACUGGAAACGGUAGCUACUACCGCAUACCAUCAGAUGUGCCCAGAUGGGAUUAGCUAGUAGGUGGGGUAAUGGCUCACCUAGGCGACGAUCUCGAGCUGGUCUGAGAGGAUGACCAGGCACACUGGAACGGAGACACGGUCCAGACGCCUACGGGAGGCAGCAGUGGGGAAUAUUGCACAAUGGGCGCAAGCCUGAUGCAGCCAUGCCGCGUGUGUGAAGAAGGCCUUCGGUUUGUAAAGCACUUUCAGCGAGGAGGCGUUACUCGCAGAAGAAGCACUGGCUAACUCCGUGCCAGCAGCCGCGGUAAUAC
rnacentral:rRNA from 1 species